rnacentral:rRNA from 1 species
AACGUAGGAGACAAACGUUAUCCGGAGUUACUGGGCGUAAAGGGCGUGUAGGUGGUUUUGUAAGUCUGGCGUGAAAUAUCUCGGCUUAACCGAGGCAGGUCGUCGGAUACUGCAAGACUAGAGGACGGUAGAGGCGUGUGGAAUUCCGGGUGUAGUGGUGAAAUGCGUAGAGAUCCGGAGGAACACCAGUGACGAAGGCGACACGCUGGGCCGUACCUGACACUGAUGCGCGACAGCAUGGGGAGCAAACAGG